rnacentral:rRNA from 1 species
AUUGAACGCUGGCGGCAUGCCUUACACAUGCAAGUCGAACGGCAGCACGGGGGCAACCCUGGUGGCGAGUGGCGGACGGGUGAGUAAUGCAUCGGAACGUGCCCUGAAGUGGGGGAUAACGCAGCGAAAGCUACGCUAAUACCGCAUAUUCUGUGAGCAGGAAAGCAGGGGAUCGCAAGACCUUGCGCUUUGGGAGCGGCCGAUGUCGGAUUAGCUAGUUGGUGGGGUAAAGGCCUACCAAGGCGACGAUCCGUAGCGGGUCUGAGAGGAUGAUCCGCCACACUGGGACUGAGACACGGCCCAGACUCCUACGGGAGGCAGCAGUGGGGAAUUUUUGGACAAUGGGCGAAAGCCUGAUCCAGCCAUGCCGCGUGAGUGAAGAAGGCCUUCGGGUUGUAAA